AUCGCUUCUCGGCCUUUUGGCUAAGAUCAAAGUGUAGUAUCUGUUCUUAUCAGCUUAAUGGUGUGACAACUGUUAUGCUGGGGGAACAGAAUGCACAGAAUUUGUCGACCAUAUGGUUGUGGGAGGGCCUGGUCCCGCCUUUCACAAUCACUGGCCCCCCGAGUACGUCGGUGGGCUUGGCUUCA